AUCAGAGGCGAAGGCAGCUUCCUGGUUUAGAAUUGACGCUGAGGUACGAAAGCAUGGGGAGCAAACAGGAUUAGAUACCCUGGUAGUCCAUGCUGUCAACGAUGAGUGUUACAUGUUGGGAUAAGUUAAAUUAUUUUGGUGUGUCAGCUAACGCGUUAAACACUCCGCCUGGGGACUACGAUCGCAAGAUUAAAACCUAAAGGAAUUGACGGAAACUUGUACAAGCGGUGGAGCAUGUGGUUUAAUUUGAUAUGGAGCGAAAAAUCUUACCAACUCUUUAAAUGCAGGAUAAAAAUUCUUAAAAAGGAUUUAUCUAUUAUUCUAGACAGUGUUGUGGAGUAAAUAAGAGACUUGCAUGGAGUGUUGCAUGGCUGUCGUCAGCUCGUGUCGUGAGGCGUUAGGUUAAUUCCGUUAACGAGCGAAACCCUUAUUCUUUAUAGUUAAAAUAAUUUAACUAAAGGAGACUAUUAAUGAAAUAUUAAAGGAAGGAGAGGAUGACGUCAAGUCAGUAUGGCCUUUAUGGGUUGGGCUACACACGUGCUACAAUGGUUAGGACAAAGGAUAGCAAUAGCGUGAGCUGGAGCAAAAUCCAAAAAACUAAUCUUAGUUCAGAUUAUUCUCUGUAAUUCGAGAAUAUGAAGGUGGAAUCGCUAGUAAUCGCAAAUCAGCAUGUUGCGGUGAAUAUGCUUACAAGUUUAGUACACACCGCCCGUCACGCCAUGGAAAUUGAAACUAUUUAAAGCAAGUGUAGCUUAUAGGGGAGUUAUAGGAGAAUUAAUCAGGUAAUGUGCGAUAUCCUUUAAUUUUUAUAAGGAGUUUGCAAGCGUAGGGUCAAGGACUGGGGUGAAGUCGUAACAAGGUAACC
rnacentral:rRNA from 1 species